rnacentral:rRNA from 1 species
CAGAAAAGUAAAUUAUGAUGCCAUGUUAGUACGAGUAUUUACUUAAAAUCAAAAGAGCUUGGCGGCACUUAGAUUUAUCAGGGGAAUCUGCUUUCUUAAUACGAUGAUCCGCGAAAAUCUUACCUGUUGUUUAUAUUUGUAUACCGUCGUAUUGUUGUUAUUAUAAAAGGAAAAAGCGAGAGGGUUGUAAUUUUUGGAGAGAGUUGACCAAUAUUGCAGAUAAAGGUGCAGUGAUCAAUAGAGGGAAUUGUUGGUUAUAAUUUUUUAUUUAUAGUGGAUUAUUUUCUGAAAAGUGGGUAUAAAAAAAGACUUGAAAGUAACUGUCUUAGAGUAAGAGGUAGUGAAUGGUUAACUAAGUGUGU